ACCCCGAGAAAGCAUCUUUCCGUGCUGGCUGGCUUCAAUCACACCCCCCCUCGGCAGCGUCAUAAAACCCCCUCACGCGAGCAAAGUCCUGGCCACCUGGUUGCGGUGGGUCUCGCGGCCGCUCUCCCCCUACUCCGGCGACCAAAAGCCGUUUUUCCUCGGUGCCAACUCCUUCCUCAUCUCCAUAUCGGUGUCCUAGAGGCAAUAGGAGAAGAAGAAAGAAGAAAGCCAGGAAAGAGAGAGAUAGAGAGAGACGGGGGGGACGUCCGGCAGAUGGUGGCGGCUUCAACGGUGGCCAUCGGCGGUGGCUGACGGGUUAUAGAGUACAUCUGUUGUAUUGCAACUAGGCUCCUAUACUUUUAGCAAAUAUUGGCCGAAUAUCGUCGCUACCCAAAAAGGCCUAUAGAAAGAUCCAAAGUUUUCCAGAAGCAUGAGCAAAGCAGGAGCAAGCGGUGCUGGAAGUGGGCCAACAGCAGCAGCUGCAGCAGCAGCUGCCCAGAAGCAGAAGGCCCUGCUGCAAAGGGUUGAUGCUGAUGUGGCGAACAUCGUUGAUAAUUUUAACCUCCUCAUUAAUGUUGCCAGGGUGAAUGACCCACCUAUUCGUAACUCUCAAGAAGCUUUUCAGAUGGAGAUGCGUGCUGCAAGGAUGGUUCAAGCAGCAGAUUCACUCCUAAAGUUGGUGUCAGAACUGAAACAAAAUGCCAUCUUUUCGGGGUUUGCAUCACUGAAUGAGAAUGUGGAUAGGAGGAUUGAGGUGUUCGAGCAGCUGGAGGAGAGCACUGAGCGAUUAUUGGAGAAGAUCGGGGAGGAGGCAGCUGCAAGUCUUAAAGAGUUGGAAACCCAUUAUUACUCCUCAGUUCUGAGGACAUGCCAGCAUGAUUGAUGAUUAGGGAUGGCUGUUGAACAAUCUUGGUGAUCUCCAAGAAGAAUUGAGUCUGAAGUUUCUCGAUGUCAUUUCCUAUGAUUCACAUUCCUUUGUCCUGCUUGUCCUCUUUUGUUGAAGUUGGAAAAAUAUUUGUGUUAAUGUCCAGGUGGUAGGUUUAUGGAUCACUGGUGAAAUGUUGAAAUAUGACUGGGUACAGGUGAAUAUGACCGGCCAAAAUUCCAUAAUGUUCUCCACUACCUUUUGGUGUGAAACCAAAGCCCUCUACUUGCAAUUGCUUUGCUCAGCAAUCAACACCCUGUAAUUGUAUUGACAACAGGUUUAGAGUUGGUUGCAGAGUCACUAUUGGAUCAUGACACAAUUAUUUAAGUAACAGUUUUUUCUGGUAAUUGCAUCGUUAA